UCCGUUUUCUUUUUUCUCUCUCUCUUCCUUCUUCCUUCUCCCAGACUGUUCUUUUUCCAGAUUUGGGGAUCUCAACGUUGGCUAGGCAUGGGGAAGAGCUGUCAUAAUUGCAUCUGUAAAACUUCUCAGGUGAGGUGAAUAAGGUUGGACAUCUUCUUCUUCCUAAACCAGAGCUAUCGUUUUCCACCACUGUAAAGGGCGAUUGGUGUGUCGUCUUCAUCCUUGGCAGUGGUUGGCGGUGUGAAAGGAGUUGCCCGUUGAGUAACAUGCUGGGUUGAUCUGAAGAAGAGCUGGUUAGGCGAAAGACUUGAUGGAGGAGAUAUGGAGCAAAUGUCACAUCUAGAGCUGGGUCUUUUAGCAAGAACGCAUAUGUCACCUGAGAAAUAGAGCUCCCUCUUCCAAAUAUACUCGUAUGCUCCAAAAAUGCAGUACGGUGCACUUGCCGAGGAAUGUUGUUGAAACAUAGCUUCAAAAUUUGUAUUCCAAAUCUGUGUUUGUGAAUUAAUCUAUGGUUUCUUUUUUUGUGAUGUUAUAGAAAUUUUUAUUUAUAAUUUGAGUUGAAGACAGCGAUGGACAAGAACACAAUGGGUAUUUUUUUUUCUUAAUUUAAUUUGAUUUAGUCACUUGUAUCUGACUUUAUUUGUUUUUUAUUAUUUAAAAUAAUAUAUAUUUUUUUAUCAUUUUACAA